AGGGGUGUGGAGGUGUGUGGUGGGGUGUGGAGGUGGUGUGGUAGGGUGUGGAGGUGGUGUAGUGGUUUGUGGAGGUGGUGUAGUGGUGUGUGGAGGUGGUGUAGGGGUGUGUGGAGGUGUGUGGUGGUGUGUGGUGGGGUGUGGAGGUGUGUGGUGGUGUGUGGUGGUGUGUGGAGGUGGUGUAGUGGUGUGUGGAGGUGGUGUAGUGGUGUGUGGAGGUGGUGUAGUGGUGUGUGGAGGUGUGUGGUGGUGUGUGGAGGUGUGUAGUGGUGUGUGGAGGCGUGUGGUGGGGUGUGGAGGUGGUGUAGUGGUGUGUGGAGGUGUGUGGAGGUGGUGUAGUGGUGUGUGGAGGUGUGUAGUGGUGUGUAGUGGUGUGUGGAGGUGUGUGGUGGGUGUGGAGGUGGUGUAGUGGGGUGUGGAGGUGGUGUAGUGGUGUGUGGAGGUGGUGUAGUGGGGUUUGGAGGUGUGUGGAGGUGGUGUGGUGGGGUGUGGAGGUGGUGUGUGGAGGUGGUGUGUGGAGGGGUGUG
ensembl:lncRNA